rfam:Scleropages formosus scaffold526, whole genome shotgun sequence.
ACACAGGAGCUUUUUAGCUCCACAGACGUCUCAUUUCAUUAGUCAU